rnacentral:rRNA from 1 species
GAGUACGACGGAGCACGUGAAAUUCCGUCGGAAUCUGGGAGGACCAUCUCCUAAGGCUAAAUACUCUCUAGUGACCGAUAGUGAACCAGUACCGUGAGGGAAAGGUGAAAAGCACCCCGGAAGGGGAGUGAAAUAGAACCUGAAACCGUGUGCUUACAAGUAGUCAGAGCCCGUUAAUGGGUGAUGGCGUGCCUUUUGUAGAAUGAACCGGCGAGUUACGAUUUGAUGCAAGGUUAAGCAGUAAAUGUGGAG